rnacentral:rRNA from 1 species
UUGUAAAGCGGCGAACGGGUGAGGAAUACAUGGGUAACCUACCCUCGAGUGGGGAAUAACUAGCCGAAAGGUUAGCUAAUACCGCGUACGCUCCUUGGACUUCGGUUCAGGGAGGAAAGCGAUACCGUGGGUAUCGCGCUCUUGGAUGGGCUCAUGUCCUACCAGCUUGUUGGCGAGGUAACGGCUCACCAAGGCUUCGACGGGUAGCUGGUCUGAGAGGACGAUCAGCCACACUGGCACUGCGACACGGGCCAGACUCCUACGGGAGGCAGCAGUAAGGAAUAUUGCGCAAUGGGCGAAAGCCUGACGCAGCGACGCCGCGUGGGGGAUGAAGGUCUUCGGAUUGUAAACCCCUUUCGGGAGGGAAGAUGGAAUGGGGUAACCCAUUCGGACGGUACCUCCAUAAGCAGCCACGGCUAACUUCGUGCCAGCAGCCGCGGUAAUACGAAGGUGGCAAGCGUUGUUCGGAUUUACUGGGCGUACAGGGAGCGUAGGCGGUUCGGUAAGCCCUCUGUGAAAUCUCCAGGCUUAACCUGGAACAGUCGGUAGGGGAC